rnacentral:lncRNA from 1 species
GCCCGUGUCCCCGGAAGUGUACGUCUGCGGUCACGGGGCGAGGCCGGCUCCCGGAAGACGCCGAUUUUAGCGUUUCCAAGGAGAUUAAAACGCCCUCGGGAAUACGGCUUACUUAAAGGAGAGCCUAAAGAGAAGCUAUUAUCUUCUCUGUGUGAGGAUUCUGAAGAUCUUUCACCCUUCAUCUCCGUUCUCUUGGUCAAGUUGAACCUUCCAGGGACUUGGAAGAAUGCGGCCGGUGGUCUGAAAUGGUGUUUAGCUGCAGCUCGGCUCUCUGAUCAGCUGAGGGGAUCUUCCACGGUUUGGCCAAACCUCCAUUUUCUCAUCUUUGGGGGUGGAAAAGCCUCAUCAUCAUCAAAUGGGGGUGAAAAAGCCUCCACUGUGAAAAAUCCUCGGGACUGCUGUGGAGUCCCCAGGAAUUGGUUUACAGAAUGGGGAAAUGCUUUAGAAAACACAGGAAGAGUGCUGCACGUGCAAGGGAUUGUGCUAGCUGAGUCCUUGGCCCAGGCAGCUCCUGGGAGUGAGGAAUGGGCUGGGGAAGGCGGGACACACAUCCUUGGGUGGGUUCUGCCUGAAACAGGAAACCUGGCCCCAGAGACGGGACUGCUUUGGAAACCAGCUGCAAGUGCUCUUCAGACAGCAGCAGCAUAGAUGAAAAUGGGGGUGCAACAGGGAAGGGUGGGCGAACCCUGUGGAAGCGGGGGAAUAGGGCACAGAACCCAGGUGGUCCUGCACAGUUUGGAGACUCACUGCCCCUGGGCACUGGGAGGUGGGGUAAUAGUACUAAGAAGUUAACCUUUGAGUUAGGGGGGCCUGGAUUCGAAACCUCCUCUGCCACGGCUGUCUGGGUGACCUUGGGAAAGUUGCUUCACCUCUCUGAGCUACAACUCUCUGGGCUGCUCAAUAACAAAUGGCGGAAAGCAGGUAGCAUGCACCAGAGUAAGCAAUUAUUUGCUGUUAAUUACUCCCAUUCCCCACCUCAGACACUCUUUGGUUGCUUUUCAGAACAGUUUAUAUCCAUUGUCCAUCUGAAGCAUGGAUAACCUGCCCAUUUCACAGAUUUUUCUCCUUCAUUUGAUUAACAGAUAUCAAGGUCUGCCAGGAAGCAAAUAGUCCCUGUCCUUGAAGAACUGCCUGCGUGUGCAUGUGUGUGUGUGUGUGUGUGUGUGAGAGAGAGAGAGAGAGAGAGGAGAGAGGAGAGAGGAAACUGUUACACCAUGUGGUCAAUGCUGUAAUUACGGUGACCAUGUUCUCCAAACCACAAAUCAGGUCACAUGGUCUGACAGAGGCUAUUUUCUGCCUCCACUGAAGUCCAAACGUGAAAUCACAUGUAGUUACACAUUCAUUGAAUCACCUUUUACUUUUUUAAGAAGCAAAUGACAUGAAAUUUGGAUUCUCUGUGACAAAUCCCACCAUAGUCCCAGAAAAUCACUAGAGCCGUGACCAAGUCCCAUAGAGAUCCCUGGCAGGAACAGGAAGACUUCCCAGAGGAGGUUCUGCUUAAGUGGGGCCUUGAAGGCUGAAUAGGAGGUCUCCAGGCAGGGAAAGAGGGGGUGAUCUUAAUGCCCUUGGGACAGGACCUACCUUUCCUGCUCUGUUAUAGACAACCCUGCUAAGACCUGGGGGUAGGGGCUAAAGUAGGCAACAGUGUCUAUUUUCAUUUACUUUUCACUUUCCUGUUCCAAAGACCUCCUGGGAAGCAGAAUUGUUUCAGGCCAGUAUAACAACAUGGUUACAUUGCAUCAUAUCUUCUGGUGCAUUUACAUGUUUGUCUCUGCAGUAGACCAUACAUUCCUUGAGGACAGGGGCCACAUCUGUCAUGUUCAUCUCUGUAUCCCUCUGCUUUUCCUCCCCCACCAGGAUGGUGUGAGGAAAACUAUAGGAGAGGUACUAAUCAAUGUCAAAUGACUAAAUGAAUGAAGUACCAUGGACGGGCAUGUUGUACGGAGGCAGUGUUCUUUGUUUUGUGAUGAAUCUGUUGACUUUCAUUUUAUCUGUUUAGUUAGCAAAUAUGUGCUGGUUGCCUGCCCUGUGCCUAGCUCUGUGUGGGGUUCCAGAGCUCAGCUGUGUCCGAGACAAAUGUGGUCCUGCUCACACACAGCUUACACUCUAGAGAGAGGCAGCCGACAAGUAACUACAAGAAUGAUGAAGAGGGAUUGUGACAUGUAGACCAGGAAGUGGUCUGGGUUAGGGACACAGGAAAAGCCCCAGGAGGAAAUGAAAUUUAACCUGAUACCCGCAAAAUAAAAAUUAACCAUUUAGCUAACAUUUUAAUAGUGCUUAUCAUGUGACAGACACCACUCUGAGGGCUUUACAUGUUUAACUCAUUUAAUUCUCACAAUUGUCCUAGGCAGUACAGACUAUUAUCCCAUUUUAGAGAUGUACACAGAAAGUUUGAAAAACUGACCCACAGGAACUUCCCUGCUGGCAAAGUGGUUAAGAAUCCACCUGCUAAUACAGGGGACAUGGGUUCGAGCCCUGGUCCAGGAAGAUCCCACAUGCCGCGGGGCAACUAAGCCCGUGCGCCACAACUAUUGAGCCUGCGCUCUAGAGCCUGCAAGCCACUACUACUGAGCCCGUGUGCCACAACUAAUGAAGCCCGCACACCUAGGGCCCGUGCUCCGCAACAAGGGAAGCCACCACAAUGAGAGGCCCACACACUGCAACAAAGAGUAGUCCCCACUCGCCACAACUAGAGAAAGCCUGCCUGCAGCAACAAAGACCCAACGAGCC